rnacentral:siRNA from 1 species
GGCCGUGGUGUCGAGGAUGG